GAAAAAGAAAUCUGUAGUAGGCAGGACAAAGAAGGUGCACAUAGUAAGAUGUAGAUUUAAACCAAAAUACAUAAGAAAUUACAUUAAAUGGAUUAAGUGUUCUGAUCAAAAGCAAAGAUCAUCAAAUGAAAUAAAAACCCAAACCCAACUGCUUGCUGUUAACAAGACCACAUCUAAAACAUAAGGACAGAUAUAUUGAAAAUAAAAGGAUAGGAAAGAUAAGGAAAUACUAAAAGAAAGCUUGUAUAGCUGUAUUAGUUAUUGACAAAGUAUAAUUUAAGGCAAAAAGCCUGAUUAGAGACAAGGAGGGGCACUUCAAAAUGGCAAAUAAUUCAAUUCAUUAGAAAGAUACAGUUCUAAAUGUUAACGUACCUAACGGCAGAGCCUCACAGUACAUUAGAACAAUAUAGGUGAAAAGUGAACAAGCACUUUAAAAAGAAGGGUAUUCAAAUGGCUUAUAGGAGAGGGUAGGUAUUAGCACCGUUAGUUAUUAGGGAAACAAAUUUAAACUAUACUGAGAUACCACAACACACCCAUCAGAAAGGCUAAAAAUAAAAAGACUGACAAUGACAGGUGUUGAUGAGGAUGGGAAGCAACUAAAACUUGCCUAAAUAAUUGCAGGAAGGAGUGAACAAAUGGGCCAUAUCUACUGAAGUUAAACACACCUAUCUUCGAAUCUAUCAGAUUGCACUAAUUGGUAUAUGCCCAAGAGAAAUGAGUGCAUAUGCCUACCGAAAGUCAUGUUUACAAGAUGCUUAUAGCAAGAUUUUUCACAAUAGCGCCCAAAUUGGAGACAAUUCAAUUGUCCCAUCAAUAGAAUGGAUAAAUUGUGCUAUCUUUUACAAUGUAAUUUUAAAUAGCAGAAAAGAAUGAAUUACUGUUACGUGAAAAUAUGAAUGAAGCUCAUGGACAUAAUAUUAAGCAAAAGAAGCCAGAUACAAAGGAAUACAUACUGUAUGAUUGCAUUUAUAUACAUGUCAGGAAUAGGUAAAACUUCAUGUUGUCACCUACAGUCACAAUAGUGGUCAUGGUGAGAGGGGCAGCACAUUGCCUUAGAAGGGCAUGAGGAAACCGGAGGUGCUGGAAAUGUUCUAUAUCUUGAUUUGGAUUAUGUGGGCAUGUAUAUAUAAAAAUGCAUCAAACUAUAUGUAAGAUGUGUGUACUUCAUGUUACAUACACCUUAUGUUACACAUUAAUAAAAUACCUAGAAGCAAAAACGGACAGAGCCACAAGGAGAAAUAGACAUCCACAAUUAUAACGAUAUUUUAUAUACUUCUGAUAGAACACGUAGAUUGUAGAAAUCAGUAAGGAUGUAGAGUAUUUGAAUGCCACUGUCAGCAAACAUGACCUAAAUGGACACGUGGAACACUGCACCUAACAAUGGAAGAACAUGCAUUCUCUUCAAGUUCACAUUGAACAUUUACAAAUUGGGCCAUAUGUUGGUUUAUAAAGUAAGUCUCAACAAAUUUUAAAGGAUUAAAAUCAUUUAGAGUAUGUUUGUAAGGCAGUUAAAGUAGUAAGGAUCAAUUAGAAAUCAUAAUUAGAGCAUUCUAUAUGUUUGGAAAUUAAGAAACACGUUUUUUAAUUUCCCACAGGUCAAAAAAGAAAUCACAUCAGUAGGAAUAAGAAAAAUGUUUUUAUAGGAGUGAUAAUAAAAAUACAUGUGGAAACUUGUGAGAUACAACGAAUGCCAAGUUCAGAGGGAAAUUUAUUUAUACCCUUAAAUGUAUAUAUUAGGAAAGAAGAAAGCUGAACAUCAGUGAGCUGAUGAUCAUCUCAAAAAGCACACAGGUUGUUGUGAAGUUUACCUCAGUUUUGCAGAAGAGGAGCCUGAGGCAAGAGAAGUGAGAUAAUUCGCCCAAGGACACUGGAUCUAGUGGAGAUGGGAUUUGGAUCCCAUCUGACUGGCAGGGAGAUCUGUCUUCCAACUGCCAAAGAAAAGAAUUGGACUGAAUGAUUUUUAAGUUCCCUUCUAACUGUAACAUUGCAUGAGUCUUUGAAUUUGUCAUAUUGUAAGGUAAGUAUAGUUUUCAUAAAAGAGGUAAGUCUUGAAGAUUAUGCAAAAAGGUGUCUAUCAAAUGUCUUAAAAUUGAUUUUUGUAAUUGAAAGAUUCAUUUCAAACUUGUUCAUGAAUACAAUUCCAUUCUUCUAUUUUUCAGAAUGCUUUCUGCAUAUAGGCAUAGAUGAUUUUAACAUAUGCUUGAAAAGAAGCGUAUGAAUUACAUAAAACUAGCAUGUG